rnacentral:rRNA from 1 species
UACGAAGGGUGCAAACGUUGCGCGGAAUCAUUGGGCGUAAAGCGCACGUAGGCGGCUUGCCAAGUCGGACGUGAAAUCCCUCAGCUCAACUGAGGACGUGCAUCCGAAACUGGCGAGCUUGAGUGCUGAAGAGGAUCGCGGAAUUCCCGGUGUAGAGGUGAAAUUCGUAGAUAUCGGGAGGAACACCAGUGGCGAAGGCGGCGAUCUGGGCAGACACUGACGCUGAGGUGCGAAAGCGUGGGGAGCAAACAGG